rnacentral:hammerhead_ribozyme from 1 species
AUUCAGCUGACGAGUUCAAAAUAAGACGAAAGGCCUGUCCUGCAU